rnacentral:rRNA from 1 species
UACGGAGGGUGCAAGCGUUAAUCGGAAUUACUGGGCGUAAAGCGUGCGUAGGCGGUUCGUUAAGUCUGCUGUGAAAGCCCCGGGCUCAACCUGGGAAUGGCAGUGGAUACUGGCGAGCUAGAGUGUGAUAGAGGAUGGUGGAAUUCCCGGUGUAGCGGUGAAAUGCGUAGAGAUCGGGAGGAACAUCAGUGGCGAAGGCGGCCAUCUGGAUCAACACUGACGCUCAGGCACGAAAGCGUGGGGAGCAAACAGG